CCUACGGGUGGCUGCAGUGGGGAAUAUUGGACAAUGGGGGGAACCCUGAUCCAGCCAUGCCGCGUGUGUGAAGAAGGCCCUCGGGUUGUAAAGCACUUUCAGUGAGGAAGAACGCCUGGUGGUUAAUACCCAUCAGGAAAGACAGCACUCACAGAAGAAGCACCGGCUAACUCCGUGCCAGCAGCCGCGGUAAUACGGAGGGUGCGAGCGUUAAUCGGAAUUACUGGGCGUAAAGCGCGCGUAGGUGGCUUGAUAAGCCGGUUGUGAAAGCCCCGGGCUCAACCUGGGAACGGCAUCCGGAACUGUCAAGCUAGAGUGCAGGAGAGGAAGGUAGAAUUCCCGGUGUAGCGGUGAAAUGCGUAGAGAUCGGGAGGAAUACCAGUGGCGAAGGCGGCCUUCUGGACUGACACUGACACUGAGGUGCGAUAGCGUGGGUAGCAAACAGGAUUAGAUACCCUGGUAGUC
rnacentral:rRNA from 1 species